GAUGAACGCUGGCGGCGUGCCUAACACAUGCAAGUCGAACGGAGAUUACGGACGGAAGUUUUCGGAUGGAAGACUGUAAUUCUUAGUGGCGGACGGGUGAGUAACGCGUGGGCAACCUGCCCUAUACAGGGGGAUAGCAGCUGGAAACGGCUGGUAAGACCGCAUAAGUCGGUUAAAUCGCAUGAUUUGAUCGGGAAAUGAGCAAUCAGGUAUAGGAUGGGCCCGCGUCCGAUUAGCCAGUCGGCAGGGUAAAAGCCUACCAAAGCGACGAUCGGUAGCCGGACUGAGAGGUCGGACGGCCACAUUGGGACUGAGACACGGCCCAAACUCCUACGGGAGGCAGCAGUGGGGGAUAUUGCACAAUGGAGGAAACUCUGAUGCAGCGACGCCGCGUGAGUGAAGAAGUAUUUCGGUAUGUAAAGCUCUAUCAGCAGGGAAGAUGAUGACGGUACCUGACGAAGAAGCCCCGGCUAACUACGUG
rnacentral:rRNA from 1 species